rnacentral:tRNA from 1 species
AAAAAGGUAAGCUAAGUUAAGCUAGCAGGUUCAUACCCUGAAGAUGAGUAAUUCCCUUUUUA